AUUGAACGCUGGCGGCAUGCUUUACACAUGCAAGUCGAACGGUAACAGGGAGCUUGCUCCGCUGACGAGUGGCGAACGGGUGAGUAAUGCGUCGGAACGUGCCGAGUAGUGGGGGAUAACGCAUCGAAAGGUGUGCUAAUACCGCAUACGUACUGAGAUAGAAAGUGGGGGACCUUCGGGCCUCACGCUAUUCGAGCAGCCGACGUCUGAUUAGCUAGUUGGUGAGGUAAAGGCUCACCAAGGCGACGAUCAGUAGCGGGUCUGAGAGGAUGAUCCGCCACACUGGGACUGAGACACGGCCCAGACUCCUACGGGAGGCAGCAGUGGGGAAUUUUGGACAAUGGGCGCAAGCCUGAUCCAGCCAUGCCGCGUGUCUGAAGAAGGCCUUCGGGUUGUAAAGGACUUUUGUCCGGGAGCAAAUGCCUGGUGUUAAUAGCAUCGGGAGCUGAGAGUACCGGAAGAAUAAGCACCGGCUAACUACGUGCCAGCCGCCGCGGUAAUAC
rnacentral:rRNA from 1 species